rnacentral:ncRNA from 1 species
CAACCUCAACUCAUAUGGGACUACCCCCUGAAUUUAAGCAUAUUAAUUAGGGGAGGAUUUUCUUAGUAGCGGCGAGCAAUCAGUUCAGCACUAAGUCACUUUGUCUAUAUGGCAAACGUGAGAUGCAGUGUAUGGAGCGUCAAUAUUCUAGUAUGAGAAAUUAACGAUUUAAGUCCUUCUUAAAUGAGGCCAUUUACCCAUAGAGGGUGCCAGGCCCGUAUAACGUUAAUGGUUACGGACACGGACCAAGGAGUCUAACAUAUGUGAAAGUUAUUGGGAGAUAAACCUAAUAGCGUAAUUAACUUGACUAAUAAUGGGAUUAGUUUUUUAACUAUUUAUAGAUAAUUAACACAAUCCCGGGGUGUUCUAUAUAGUUAUGUAUUAUAAUAAUAUAUUUAUAAUAAUAAUAUAUUUAUAUUAUUUAUGCCUCUAACUGGAACGUACCUUGAGCAUAUAUGCUGUGACCCGAAAGAUGGUGAACUAUACUUGAUCAGGUUGAAGUCAGGGGAAACCCUGAUGGAAGACCGAAACAGUUCUGACUUGCAAAUCGAUUGUCAGAAUUGAGUAUAGGGGCGAAAGACCAAUCGAACCGAGGCCUUAGGGUCGAAACGAUCUUAACCUAUUCUCAAACUUUAAAUGGGUAAGAGUCUAACAUAACCUUAACUUUCUUGAUAUGAAGUUUAAGGUUAUGAUAUAAUGUGCCCAGUGGGCCACUUUUGGUAAGCAGAACUGGCGCUGUGGGACGAACCAAACGUAAUGUUACGGUGCCCAAAUUAACAACUCAUGCAGAAACCAUGAAAGGCGUUGGUUGCUUAAAACACCAGGACGGUGAUCAUGGAAGUCGAAAUCCGCUAAGGAGUGUGUAACAACUCACCUGCCGAAGCAACUAGCCCUUAAAAUGGAUGGCGCUUAAGUUGUAUACCUAUACAUUACCGCUAAAGUAGAUGAUUUAUAUUACUUGUGAUAUAAAUUUUGAAAUUUUAGUGAGUAGGAAGGUACAAUGGUAUGCGUAGAAGUGUUUGGCGUAAGCCUUCAUGGAGCUGCCAUUGGCACAGACUCUUGGUGGUAGUAGCAAAUAAUCGAAUGAGACCUUGGAGGACUGAAGAGGAGAAGGGUUUCGUGUGAACAGUGGUUGAUCACGAGUUAGUCGGUCCUAAGUUCAAGGCGAAAGCCGAAAUUUUUCAAGUAAAAUAUCAGUGAGUAAAAUUGUCAAAUCUUUUAUGAUUUUUAAAUACUUGAAUAAUUUUGAACGAAAGGGAAUACGGUUCCAAUUCCGUAACCUGUUGAGUAUCCGUUUGUUAUUAAAUUUGGGCCUCGUGCUCAUCCUGGCAACAGGAACGACCAUAAAGAAGCCGUCGAGAGAUAUCGGAAGAGUUUUCUUUUCUGUUUUAUAGCCGUACUACCAUGGAAGUCUUUCGCAGAGAGAUAUGGUAGAUGGGCUAGAAGAGCAUGACAUACACUGUUGUGUCGAUAUUUUCUCCUCGGACCUUGAAAAUUUAUCCGCAGCUGGUCUCCAAGGUGAAGAGUCUCUAGUCGAUAGAAUAAUGUAGGUAAGGGAAGUCGGCAAAUUAGAUCCGUAACUUCGGGAUAAGGAUUGGCUCUGAAGAUUGAGAUAGUCGGGCUUGAUUGGGAAACAAUAACAUGGUUUUAUGUGCUCGUUCUGGGGUAAAUAGAGUUUCUAUCAUUUUAUGGUAGUUACUUGUUCCCCGGGAUAGUUUAGUUACGUAGCCAAUUGUGGAACUUUCUUUCUAAAAUUUUUAAGAAUAUUAAUUAUGUUAAACCAGUUAGUUCUUAUUAAUUAUAACGAUUAUCAUUUAACAAUCAAUUCAGAACUGGCACGGACUUGGGUAAUCCGACUGUCUAAUUAAA